rnacentral:rRNA from 1 species
AAACGGAGGAUCCGAGCGUUAUCCGGAUUUAUUGGGUUUAAAGGGUGCGCAGGCGGCCAUUUAAGUUAGCGGUUAAAUCGUGGGGCUCAACCCCAUUCUGCCGUUGAUACUGGGUGGCUUGAUUGCGGUCGAGGUUGGCGGAAUUCGUUGUGUAGCGGCGAAAUGCAUAGAUAUGACGAAGAACACCGAUUGCGUAGGCAGCUGACCAGACCGCAAAUGACGCUCAUGCACGAAAGUGCGGGGAUCGAACAGGAUUAGAUACCCUGGUAGUCCGCACAGUAAACGAUGAAUACUUGUUUUCGGCGAUAUAAUGUCGGAGGCAAAGCGAAAGCGAUAAGUAUUCCACCUGGGGAGUACGCCGGCAACGGUGAAACUCAAAUGAAUUGGCGGGG